UACGAAGGGGGCUAGCGUUGUUCGGAAUUACUGGGCGUAAAGCGUGCGCAGGCGGCUUCUCAAGUCAGGGGUGAAAGCCCAGAGCUCAACUCUGGAAUUGCCUUUGAGACUGAGUGGCUUGAGUACGGGAGAGGUGAGUGGAAUUCCCAGUGUAGAGGUGAAAUUCGUAGAUAUUGGGAAGAACACCGGUGGCGAAGGCGGCUCACUGGACCGGAACUGACGCUGAGGCGCGAAAGCGUGGGGAGCAAACGGG
rnacentral:rRNA from 1 species